rnacentral:rRNA from 1 species
GUAAUGCCGGAUGCUCCAGUUGAUCGCAUGGUCUUCUGGGAAAGCUUUCGCGGUAUGGGAUGGGGUCGCGUCCUAUCAGCUUGACGGCGGGGUAACGGCCCACCGUGGCUUCGACGGGUAGCCGGCCUGAGAGGGCGACCGGCCACAUUGGGACUGAGAUACGGCCCAGACUCCUACGGGAGGCAGCAGUGGGGAAUAUUGCACAAUGGGCGCAAGCCUGAUGCAGCGACGCCGCGUGAGGGAUGGAGGCCUUCGGGUUGUAAACCUCUUUUAUCGGGGAGCAAGCGAGAGUGAGUUUACCCGUUGAAUAAGCACCGGCUAACUACGUGCCAGCAGCCGCGGUAAUACGUAGGGUGCAAGCGUUAUCCGGAAUUAUUGGGCGUAAAGGGCUCGUAGGCGGUUCGUCGCGUCCGGUGUGAAAGUCCAUCGCUUAACGGUGGAUCCGCGCCGGGUACGGGCGGGCUUGAGUGCGGUAGGGGAGACUGGAAUUCCCGGUGUAACGGUGGAAUGUGUAGAUAUCGAAGAGAGACC